rnacentral:tRNA from 1 species
GGCCCCAUCGUCUAGCCUGGUCUAGGACGUCAGCUUCUCAGGCUGUAAACACGAGUUCAAAUCUCGUUGGGGCUA